UGCUGCUGGGUGAACGCUACUGUUGUUGAAGGAUACUUGCUUGCUGAUGGACUACUGCUUCCAGUCGGGUGACGCUGAUGGGUGCUGACGUAGACGACCGGGUAACGGGAGAACGGUGAUGUGAAGAGGCGUCAAGAGUGGAGGAGUCCUGUACCAGCUGAGAGGGAAUCUGCUGCCUGGGGAGUAGGUUACAUGACAAGGAAAAAGAAGAUACACUAGUCCUCCAGUUGCACGUCCGAGGCAGACAUCAACGCCAUUGUGACAAGUUUCCUGGCAUCCAGUUACACGCUUGAGGUCGCCAUGCUGUCGUCUACGCCAUUGUGACCGUUUCCUGGCAUCCAGUUACACGCUCGAGGUCGCCAUGCUGUCGUCUACGCCAUUGUGACCGUUUCCUGGCAUCCAGUUACACGCUUGAGGUCGCCAUGCUGUCGUCUACGCCAUUGUGACCGUUUCCUGGCAUCCAGUUACACGCUCGAGGUCGCCAUGCUGUCGUCUACGCCAUUGUGACCGUUUCCUGGCAUCCAGUUACACGCUCGAGGUCGCCAUGCUGUCGUCUACGCCACUGACAGUUUCCUGGCAUCCAGUUAAUCUCCAUCACCGGCCUUGGACCUGAUCUCUCCAGUUUUCAUAGACCUUAACACGCGUUCUCACUUCACAAGAAGCACUCCAGUAAAUCUUGGCCACCAGACCAAAAGCGGCUUUUAGGCUUUUGUUAUGUAAUCCGAAAACAUUUUUGCAAUCUUUUUUAAUUAUAACUUGAUAUUUAAAUCUUACUAUUAAAUUAACUUUAUUUAAACUUUUGGAAAUUUCUCAGAUUUUAAUUAAAUUUUAUUAAUUUUCAAUAAAUUAUCUGAAAAAAUUGGUCAAUUUUUUUUUUGCCGUUUAUAGACUAUCUCGAUUGCCUUGUUUGAAGUGUCCAGUUUACACAUCGAACUUUUUUCCUAAAAUCUAAGUAAAACUCUUUACAUAGGAAGGAAAAAAUUUAUUUUUAAAUAUUAAUUUUUUUUUUGUAAAGUACAGCUUUUACAAUUUUUUUUACAAACAAGAUAUGAGAAGUCACUCACUACAUGCAAGUUGUAAAGAUGUAAUUACUUCAAAAAGCAUAAUAUUUACUAGUAUUCUGUAUUGACACGAAAAAGCAAAAAUAUUGUUACAUAUGAAGAUAGAACUAAAGUACACAACAUUGGUGAACCGAGAAGUAAUGGAUUGUGAUGUAGGUUUUAUCUUGGAGUUUUUUCUCUGGUUAUUGUUGUACAAAACAUCAAACCAGUGAAGAUCAAAACUUCCUACUUCACAACCAAUCACUGAUCUCAGUUGACCAAUGUUGUGUAGCGUAACUUCAUCUUCUACAAUAUUUUACCCUUUCCUGUCAACGAAAUGCUUGUGAAGAAUUUAUUGCAAUUUAAAGUAAUUAUUACAUCUUUACAACAAACCUACAAUGAAUGUCACAGGUUUUUUGUAUUCUGAGUAUAAUAAAUAGGCAAAAGACACCUUAGAGCCCCCAUUGGUGUAUUACAACAGUCGCAAGCCCUAGCAGCCUACUCCAUUGGUGGGGCAGACCAUAAGGACAGUGACACCACUAGCAGCUUAACCCAUUGGUGGGACUGAAUACUUCUUUACAAUGGUUGAAUUAAACAUUAUGUAGUCAAACUUGAUCCUUAGUGACAAGGUCCACUUACUAAGAGAU
rnacentral:lncRNA from 1 species